GUUGAGCUUGUUGAAGUCGGCCUUGCCGCCGCUCUUGGCGAGCUGCGACUCGACGGUGGCGAGGAGCGCGGAGAAGUUGGAGCGGAAGGUGGGGAUGACGUCGUCUUUGCGGGAGAGGAGGAGGGAGAAGAGCAUCUGCUUCACCUUGGUGUGGGUGGGCUCGGAGGGGUCGAGGUAGGAGCAGACGCGGUAGCCGCCGGUGAGGGAGGUGGAGGGCAUGUAGGUGCCCGUGAACAGGUCCUUCUUCUCCACCUUGUCCAUGUCGAAGAGGACCGGGAAGCUCUUGGCGUCCAGGACCGCCACCACCCGCGGGUCGCGCGCCAUGAAGGGCCCCGGCGGCACGUUGAUGCGCACCACGGUGGAGCCGUAGCGCUCCACGCGGGACUCGAAGUACUUGUCCUGCCCCUGGAAGUAGUAGAAGUCGAGGCGGUCGCGCACGGCGCCCACCAGCGGCAGCCCGUAGCUGCCCGGCACGUCCCUGGGGGCGCUGGAACCACCAUCGUCGGAGCUCGCCAUUUGAGCCUUGUUGUUGGAUGCUUGCUUCCGAUCCGAUCCCCUACGAAGGAAAUUAACGUACACAAGCUCUCUCGCAAGUCGCAACUAGCUACGUACAGAUAGCUGCUUGGAUGAUUGCUUCUCUCUAAUCGAUCGCUGGGCAGGGCAGGCUCUGCUCAAAUUCGGUCGUCCCCUUCACUGCAAGUGCAAGGGCGUUUGAAGGUUUUCGAAGGACUGGAGGGAGGAG
rnacentral:lncRNA from 1 species